CCUACGAGCGGCAGCAGUGGGGAAUAUUGGACAAUGGGCGAAAGCCUGAUCCAGCCAUGCCGCGUGUGUGAAGAAGGCCUUCGGGUUGUAAAGCACUUUCAGUGGGGAAGAAAGCCUUGGGGCUAAUACCCCCGAGGAAGGACAUCACCCACAGAAGAAGCACCGGCUAACUCCGUGCCAGCAGCCGCGGUAAUACGGAGGGUGCGAGCGUUAAUCGGAAUUACUGGGCGUAAAGCGCGCGUAGGCGGUCUGAUAAGCCGGUUGUGAAAGCCCCGGGCUCAACCUGGGAACGGCAUCCGGAACUGUCAGGCUAGAGUGCAGGAGAGGAAGGUAGAAUUCCCGGUGUAGCGGUGAAAUGCGUAGAGAUCGGGAGGAAUACCAGUGGCGAAGGCGGCCUUCUGGACUGACACUGACGCUGAGGUGCGAAAGCGUGGGUAGCAAACAGGAAUAGAUACCCUGGUAGUC
rnacentral:rRNA from 1 species